AACGAACGCUGGCGGCAUGCCUAACACAUGCAAGUCGAACGAAGGCUUCGGCCUUAGUGGCGCACGGGUGCGUAACGCGUGGGAAUCUGCCCCUCGGUUCGGAAUAACAGUUAGAAAUGACUGCUAAUACCGGAUGAUGACUUCGGUCCAAAGAUUUAUCGCCGAGGGAUGAGCCCGCGUAGGAUUAGGUAGUUGGUGGGGUAAAGGCCUACCAAGCCGACGAUCCUUAGCUGGUCUGAGAGGAUGAUCAGCCACACUGGGACUGAGACACGGCCCAGACUACUACGGGAGGCAGCAGUGGGGAAUAUUGGACAAUGGGCGAAAGCCUGAUCCAGCAAUGCCGCGUGAGUGAUGAAGGCCUUAGGGUUGUAAAGCUCUUUUACCAGGGAUGAUAAUGACAGUACCUGGAGAAUAAGCUCCGGCUAACUCCGUGCCAGCCGCCGCAGUAA
rnacentral:rRNA from 1 species